rnacentral:misc_RNA from 1 species
UACGGAGGGUGCAAGCGUUGUUCGGCCUCACUGGGUGUAACGGGUGCGCAGGCUGGCGCCUAAGUCGGAGGUGAAAUCUUGCCGCUUAACGGUAAAAUUGCCCCCGAUACUGGGUGGCUUGAAUCUGACAGAGGUCGGUGGAAUUCGUGGUGUAGCGGUGAAAUGCAUAGAUAUCACGAAGAACAUCAGUGGCGAAGGCGGCCGGCUGGGUCAGUAUUGACGCUGAGGCACGAGAGCGUGGGGAGCGAACAGG